rfam:Felis catus isolate Cinnamon breed Abyssinian chromosome X, whole genome shotgun sequence.
ACCUGGCUGGCUCUGUUGGUAGAGCAUGCGACUCUUGAUCUCAGGGUCAUGGGUUUGAGCCCCAAGUUGGGUG